AUUCAGGUGAUGAGUCUCAAAUAGGACGAAACGCAAGUUCUGGAU
rnacentral:hammerhead_ribozyme from 1 species